UGCGACCGUGCGUGUGUAUGUCUGCAAUGCACUGUGUGAGGAUGAGGAUCAGAGAGUUAAUGUAAUAUGCCGACGCAAGCAUGUGACAAGCAAGGGAGUGCAUUUCUGCAUUUCAGAAUGUUUGUGCUCAAGUUUCCACGUCUGUGUGUGACCUGUCUGUCCUCUAGCCCCGCUCUCUAGGCAGGUAACCUUUAGUGUCUGUGUGCCUGCCUGCCGGUUAGCGAGCCGCACUGAGCCAUGUGGUGCGCCCUUGCCCUUGUCCUUUUCUCAGGGUUCCGGGAGAUGUGAUGUGACGUUGGGGGCGAGGAGGAAGAGGUGUAGUGUGGGAGCUAGGGAGGACGACCAAGUUUAAUGGGACUCGAUCAAUGAAGGCCAGACAAAAGAAAGUGGUAAAAAAUCUGGAAAAUAGCAGAAAGGAAAACUGCCAGGCUCCCGUUGAACUCGUCAUCGUUCUUCUCGAAUCCGGAGGACAUCAAACAAUAGAGAUGGACUCCAAUCAAGUUGUACUAAACAUCUCAAGGAUGAUCAAUGGAAACCGGAUACACCUGAGCUCAAUUUUGAGUCUCAUAGCAAAG